GCUGGACACACACCCUAUAACCAGGUUAUUCACCAACCUGGCUCUGCUGAACAAGAUGAUCUGGUAACAGAGAGAGGUGUUCCGGUGGUUGUGUCGGAGGUGGCACAGGAAGCAGCAGCCUUGGUGUUGGCUGGAGUGGCACAGGAAGCAGAGAAAGACAAGAAACAGAACUAAGAAGAGAGGUCAAGCUGAGGAGGCCGCUGUGGCCUGGGAAACACAACCUUCUUGGAUAAAACCUCCGUUUUUACAUUCAGAGACGAUUUGUAGAUAAGAUGCACAACCCAAAGACCAGGAAGUUAAAACACACACACUCAUCUGUCACAACGAUGACUGACCAGGAAGUUAAAACACACACACUCAUCUACCACAACGAUGACUGACCAGGAAGUUAAAACACACACACUCAUCUACCACAACGAUGACUGACCAGGAAGUUAAAACACACACACCCAUCUACCACAACGAUGACAGACCAGCUCAAUACAUAUUCCUGUCAGGGUGUGUCCCAAAUGGCACCUAAUUCCCUGAUGAGGGGAUAGGGUGGAAUUUCAGACGGAGAGACUUGUCACCAAAGUGCCUUCCCAUCCUGGAAAUAUGGAUGGGUCACUUUUCUUCUUCUAUUGGCAAUAACAUUGUUAAAGAGAAUUACCAUGUAACCUGGAGACACCUGGGCUUCCAACCAUGUAACCUGGAGACACCUGGGCUUCCAACCAUGUAACCUGGAGACAUCUGGGCUUCCAACCAUGUAGCCUGGAGACACCUGGGCUUCCAACCAUGUAGCCUGGAGACACCUGGGCUUCCAACCAUGUAGCCUGGAGACACCUGGGCUUCCAACCAUGUAACCUGGAGCCACCUGGGCUUCCACCUGAACUCUCUGACUCCCAAUUACCUGGAGCCACCUGGGCUUCCACCUGAACUCUCUGACUCCCAAUUACCUGGAGCCACCUGGGCUUCCACCUGAACUCUCUGACUCCCAAUUACCUGGAGCCACCUGGGCUUCCACCUGAACUCUCUGACUCCCAAUUACCUGGAGCCACCUGGGCUUCCACCUGAACUCUCUGACUCCCAAUUACCUGGAGCCACCUGGGCUUCCACCUGAACUCUCAAUUACCUGGAGCCACCUGGGCUUCUACCUGAACUCUCUGACUCCCAAUUACCAGGAGCCACCUGGGUUUCCACCUGAACACUGACUCUCUAACAGACAGCUGUGGUGAAGCCAAACGAUGCACUACUUUAGCAACAAACUGUGAAGUUGAGGUUCAGAGACAGACUACACGGUCACUUUAAGGUUGUCCAUAUGGAGUCAACGUUGUGUUGAACAGCUUCUCGGUGGGAAAAUGUUUCAUAAUUAAUACUACUUGACUUUUACUAGCUGCUCUGACAGAGGAAGACAAGCCAAACAAUCUAACAACCUGUUCUUCUGGACUAGACUGGACCCUGCUGAUGUGGAACUCAAUCUAACAAACUGUUCUUCUGGACUAGACUGAACCCUGCUGAUGUGGAACUCAACCUGUUCUUCUGGACUAGACUGGACCCUGCUGAUGUGGAACUCAACCUGUUCUUCUGGACGAGACUGGACCCUGCUGAUGUGGAACUCAAUCUAACAAUCUAACAACCUGUUCUUCUGGACUAGACUGAACCCCGCUGAUGGGGGAAGUCAUUAAUGAAUUAAUGAUUACUUCAAUAUGGUUAUUUAACAGGUAGAUAAGGAAUACUAAGAGCUUAACAGUCGACCUGGAGUGUACAGUGUAAUGUUGAGAAGAGAAUUUACACUGAGUGAACAAAACAUUAAGAACACCUUCCCUAAUAUUGAGUUGCCCUCAGAACAGACUCAAUUCGUCGGGACAUGGACUCUACAAGGUGUCAAGCGUUCCACAGGGAUGCUGGUCCAUGUUGACUCUACAAGGUGUCGAAAGCGAUCCACAGGCAUGCUGGUCCCUGUUGACUCCAAUGCUUCCCACAGUUGUGUCAAGGUGGCUGGAUGUCCUUUGGGUGGUGGACCAUUCUUGAUACACGCGGGAAACUGUUGAGUGUGAGAACCCCAGCAGCAUUGCAGUUCUUGACACAAACCAGUGCGCCUGUCACCUACUACCACACCCCGUUCGAAGGCUCUUACAGCCACACACAAUCCAUGUCUCAACUGUCGAAAAGCUUCUAAAUCCUUCUUUAACCCGUCUCCUCCCCUUCAUCUACAUGUCUCCUCCCCUUCAUCUACAUGUCUCCUCCCCUUCAUCUACACUGAUUUUGAAGUGGAUUUAACAAGUGACAUCAAUAAUGGAUCACCGCUUUCACCUGGUCAGUCUGUCGUGGAAAGAGAACAGGUGUUCUUAAAGUUUUGUCAACCCGGUGUCUGUUUAGUUCUCCUUUCUCACCUUGUUUGUUUCAAAAUGUCACUAUAUAUAGAUUCCUGAUGAGUCUGUUUGAGGAGGAGUCCUGAUCUCGAUGCAGUAGGACGUGAUGUCACUAUAUAUAGAUUCAUGAUGAGUGU
ensembl:lncRNA